GACGAACCGAGCGAACGUUGUUCGGAAUAACUGGGCUUAAAGGGCGCGUAGGCGGGCUGCCGCGUCCGGGGUGAAAGCCUCCCGCUCAACGGGAGAACGGCCUCGGAUACGGGCGGCCUCGAGGGGGGUAGGGGCACCUGGAACUGUGGGUGGAGCGGUGAAAUGCGUUGAUAUCCACAGGAACUCCGGUGGCGAAGGCGAGGUGCUGGACCCCUCCUGACGCUGAGGCGCGAAAGCCAGGGGAGCGAACGGG
rnacentral:rRNA from 1 species